UAUCGGAUUUAUCUAUCCAUCGUCGGGAGGACGGAUAGCCUGCUAAAGAUAGAACGCUCAUACAAAUCGUGCUUACUUCCGUUUCAAUAUGAGUUUUAAGUAACUCUCCGGUAGGCGGCGCUAUCUCUAGUAUGGGCAUUCGCUUAUCUGUCAAAAUCGGCCGGUUACAUGUUUAUCUUUCGAAAGUAAAUCGCUAUAAUUUAAUAAUUGUUUCUCUUCAUAUUGGCAUAUUGUAGCAGUGAUGAUAGUGAUAUGGAAUUAUUUCAAAUGAUAAUGGAUUGUGAUGCAGAUAGUGAUAGUGAGGCCGAUAUCAUAUGGUUAGGAAAAUAAAGAUCGUCUGAAUUACAUGGCGAAGAUCAAUAAUUACGAAUUUGACUAUAGAUUUCUGAGCAAAGGUGUUGUGAAUGAAUUGAUUAAUUUAAUGAGACCAUAUUUGAGUGUAACGUCAAAAAGGUAAGAUAAAUUUUAACCAUAAAAGUACUCGUUAUUACAACUUAUAUUUGUUUAUAGCAAUAGCAAAAUUAUACCUAAUUUUUGUUGUGUUACAAAAUCACACUCAACAGGAAUUCUAUAAUACUGCUGGAUUCCCAUGGUGCCCUAAAUGACAUUCAUAUACUAAUACAAUAACCUGGUAGGCUAUUUACCUUCAUUCUUAUUACACACUGAUACCUCUACAUUUUAUAUUUGUGUUACAGAUUCAAAUAUAGGAGAGGAAUUUAGAAAUAGAAAAAGAGUAUUUUGAAUGUGUAAUUUGUGUGCAAUGCAUCAUUGAUGUUUCAAAAUGUUGUUGCUUGAUGGCCUGGGUCUACUCAUGAUACAACUAUAAUUAACCAUUCCGAUUGAAAAGAUGCAUUGGUGUUUGUAAAAGAAGACUCCCUGUAUAUCAUUGAAAAGUAGAUUAAAACUAGAAAAUAUGCAAGCUGUUAUUAUAGCUGCCAUGCUGCAUAAUAUCGUCAGAAGUAUGAAUUUAGAAGAAUUAGAAUCAGAAAUUUCAGUCGCAGAUACAUUACAGGAAAAUAAUAUAAUUGUUCGUAACAAUUUUUCAAAACUUACAUCUGAAAUACAACUAUGUACUUAUAAAUAAUUGCUUCCAAAGAUAAUUUAUAAAAUAAACUCCAAAGAUAAU